rnacentral:lncRNA from 1 species
GGGCUCCCAUAAUUACCUAAAUGUAAGAAAUAACAUUCAUUUGUUCAAAGGAAAACUUUCUGCCAGACAAGGAGAGGGCCCCGGAGGCUGGGGAGGUGGCUAUGGCAGGCUCUGUGUGUAUCCCUCUGAAAGAUAUAAUUCCAUCACCUAAGAUGCACGGAGGUGUUUCACAAUAAGAGCGAAAGUAAUUGUUGCUUUGCUAUCUCAUUCUGCAUUAAUCACAACUGCAAUGCACUCUUCCUUCUUAGGGUUUGCAAUAAAAUUCUAUUUCUUCUGGUUUUCAUUUCCAAAAUGACAUGGGCUUUAUCCGAAAGAAUAUUCCCGCAGAAUCAUAAGCCAAGGUCAAUUGCCUUGUGACACACUCCCUCUCCAGGAGGUGGGGACCGCGCGCCUGCCGUGCUGGUGUCGGGAUUAACUGGGCUUCGUCUCCGGCGGCUAAUUGUUUCCAGGGCCCAUUCCACUUGGUCUGAUACGGAGGGUAAUUCAUUCUCUGAGAGUCUUGCUCAUUCUAAGUCAGGAGCAAACUAGGACAAGGGUGUGCUGGAGAUGGGUCCUUACAGGAUAUUCUGCCAGGGGUAGGAGCCAGAGGGGGUAGACAGCUCUGGGAGCGGGUGAGGAAGGCUCAGUCGGGGCCCCCGGCUGGUGAGUCUGUCUGUGAACACAAGCCUCGGGACCAGAACCUACUUCCCAGUGAUUACACACCUGCAACCCGCCUGUCUUUCAAACCAAGAUUCUGGGCGGCAGGCCUGCCUCCCGUCUCUUGUCCAGGCUCCAUAGGAUGCUGUGAAUUUCCUACGAGGAUGGUUUAUGGGAGGGACCCACAUCCUGCCCUGGGUGGGGAGCCCCCUGCCCAGGUCUCCACCGCAGGCUCCUCCACAGCUAGCCGUCCACAGCUAACCAGGCAGGCAGUGACUGUGGGGCUGGGUGGUAGGGGGUGCUCAGGUGUCUGGAGAGCGCUCUUCUCUCCUCGCUGACCUCUUGUCUCUCCAUCUCUCCCGCAGCCGACAACAAGGAGAAACUGCAG